GCGUUAAAACUCCUGUUCCUGUACGAUCACCGAAGUUAACCAGCAUCGAGCUUGGUCAUUCCCUAGAUGAGUGACCGCUUGGGAAUACGAGGUGCUGUAA